rnacentral:lncRNA from 1 species
UUCAAUAUAGUCGUGUUAUAUAAACGCUGAUCAUCUGUUGUGUGGGUCUCCCCACUGUUGGCUUAAAUGGGCUAACAUCCUGCUCUGUGGCGGGAGGCCGUAUUGAGCCGGGACAUGUUUGAAAUGGCGUGAGGCUGGUUGGGCCGAGUCACAAUCAAGACCCGUGGGCUCUGCAUCUAUACACUUUAAGGCUUCAUUUGGAAUUGUGGAAAGAUUGUGUUUCAUGCGAUGAGAAAGUACGUUGGAAAAAUACUUUGUUUAUUUCAGUACGUAAUAUUGCGUUCCGCAUAUCGCGAUGAGUAGGUUACGAUAUAUUUUCUACGGUCCCACAGGAAAACGCAGAAGUAUAUACCAAUAUGCUUUUUCUUCAACUCCAUUUUAUUUAAUAGCGUUAGAUAGAACUCAAUACCAAACUAACCCUAAGUGAAUUAGUUGCAUAUUUCUAAUAGUCCGAGCUUUUAGAAUUAAUGGUUAGAGCCAACGAUCCGACAAGUGAUAUCAGAGCCAGAGAUCACGGGUUCGAUUUUCGCAUGCUGUAAAUAUGUGCAGCUACUGGAGGGAGGAUUGUUGACUUAAAUGGGCCAGCAUCCUGCCCAAUGGUGGGAGGUUAUGUUGGGCCGAGUUAUGUUUGAAAUGGCAUGAGGCUCGGUGGGCCAAGUCAAGUUCGAAAUGGCAUGAGGCUGGUUGGGCCGAGUGAUAAUCGAGACCCGUGAGCGCUGUAUCUGUACGCUUUAAGUGAAUUGGUUGCGUAUUUCUAAUAGCUCGAGCUUUUGGGAUUAAUGGUUAGCGCCAACAAUCCGACACCCACAUCCAACGGAGCUGAAUUGGAAUUUCUUUUUAUUCAAUAAUAACUUAUUCGUUAUAAAAUUUUUUAUAUGAUAUUGGACAUGUAUUUCAUUUACGAGGUUAUUUAUCGUAUUUUAAAAAAAUGAUUUGAAUGUCGCAGAUAGUAUUCUG